ACACCACGAGAGUUUACAACACCCGAAGUCGGUGAGGUAACCGCAAGGGGCCAGCCGCCGAAGGUGGGGUAGAUGAUUGGGGUGAAGUCGUAACAAGGUAGCCGUAUCGGAAGGUGCGGCUGGAUCACCUCCUUUCUAUGGAGA
rnacentral:rRNA from 1 species